rnacentral:rRNA from 1 species
AUUGAACGCUGGCGGCAGGCCUAACACAUGCAAGUCGAACGAGUGGCGGACGGGUGAGCAAUGUCUGGGAAACUGCCUGAUGGAGGGGGAUAACUACUGGAAACGGUAGCUAAUACCGCAUACCAUCGGAUGUGCCUAGAUGGGAUUAGCUAGUAGGUGGGGUAAAGGCUCACCUAGGCGACGAUCCCGAGCUGGUCCGAGAGGAUGGCCAGCCACACUGUGACUGAGACACGGUCCAGACUCCUACGGGAGGCAGCAGUGGGGAAUAGUGCACAAUGGGCGCAAGCCUGAUGCAGCCAUGCCGCGUGUAUGAAGAAGGCCUUCGGGUUGUAAAGUACUUUCAGCGGGGAGGCGUUACCCGCAGAAGAAGCACCGGCUAACUCCGUGCCAGCAGCCGCGGUAAUAC